AUUCUAGAACACUUGUGAGUGGGAGGGAUUUUUUUUUCAGAUGCCUCUACAGCAAGAUAAAAUGGGGACUCCCACUCAAGAUAAAUAUGCAAAGCACCUUCACUCACACGGACAAAGUGAUGGACACACGUGCCAUGUGAGUGCAAGGGACCCCACACCUCUAUCAAGGUAACAAGCAAACAUCAGCCUGUCUGUACCCCUAAACUGUCUGAUGGUUCGGAAAAAUCCUCGAGGCUUCCUGGGCUGGUUGGAGAUGGGCUUGGAGACUUCCCAGACCGGGGGGUGGAGAGCUGACUACCGGGAGUUCCAUUUACUAAAGUUCAGAGAAUCAGAAAGACAAACAACAGAGAUACCAUGAAUACUCUUCACAUCGACUCACCCUCUCACCUGAAUACGGAAACUUGUCUUCAAAACAAUUUGCUUAAAUGCUAAAAACCUUCCCUUAAAAGCAAUGUACUUGUGACUA